rnacentral:rRNA from 1 species
UACGGGGGGGGCAAGCGUUGUUCGGAAUUACUGGGCGUAAAGGGCUCGUAGGCGGCCAACUAAGUCAGACGUGAAAUCCCUCGGCUUAACCGGGGAACUGCGUCUGAUACUGGAUGGCUUGAGAUUGGGAGAGGGAUGCGGAAUUCCAGGUGUAGCGGUGAAAUGCGUAGAUAUCUGGAGGAACACCGGUGGCGAAGGCGGCAUCCUGGACCAACACUGACGCUGAGGUGCGAAAGCGUGGGGAGCAAACAGGG